rnacentral:rRNA from 1 species
AAACCCUUACCGAAAGCGAUUGGAGGGCAAGUCUGGUGCCAGCAGCCGCGGUAAUUCCAGCUCCAAUAGCGUAUAUUAAAGUUGUUGCAGUUAAAAAGCUCGUAGUUGAAGUUCUGGCUGCUUGACCCUCGAGCUCUGUAGCCGAGGGCUCAGCAGUCAUCCGCUUGCAAAUAUAUGUUCGCCUUUAACCGGGCGGCUAUAUGAGUAAGCAUUUUACCUUGAGAAAAACAGAGUGUUCCAGGCAGGUUUGUCCGGAAUGCAUUAGCAUGGAAUAAUAGAAUAUGACUGAAGUCGAUUUAUUGGUUUGAGGCUUUAGUAAUGAUUAAUAGGAACAGUCGGGGGCAUUGGUACUUGUCAGUCAGAGGUGAAAUUCUAGGAUUUGACAAAGACUAACAAAUGCGAAAGCAUUUGCCAAGGAUGUUUUCAUUAAUCAAGAACGAAAGUUAGGGGAUCAAAGACGAUCAGAUACCGUCCUAGUCUUAACUAUAAACUAUACCGACUCGGAUUCAGAUGAAUCAUAAAGUUCAUUUGGGACCGUAGGAGAAAUCAAAGUUUUUGGGUUCUGGGGGAAGUAUGGUCGCAAGGCUGAAACUUAAAGGAAUUGACGGUUUUGCACCACCAUGGAGUGGAGUCUGCGGCUUAAUUUGACUCAACACUGGGAAACUCAUCAGGGCAAGAAGAUUGUAGGAUUGACAGAUUGAGAGUUCUUUCUUGAUUGGUCUAGUGGUGGUGCAUGGCCGUUCUUAGUUGGUGGAGUGAUUUGUCUGGUUAAUUCCGUUAACGAACGAGACCUUAACCUGCUAACUAGUACACCGAUGACAAAUCGGUGAUACUUCUUAGAGGGACUAUGUGAUGUAAUCACAUGGAAGUUUGAGGCAAUAACAGGUCUGUGAUGCCCUUAGAUGUCCUGAGCUGCACGCGUACUACAAUGGUGCUUUCAUCGAGCUUUUCCUGAUCCGAAAGGAUUUGGGUAAUCUUUUUAGUGAGCACCGUGCUUGGGAUAGAUCUUUGUAAUUAUGGAUCUUGAACUAGGAAUUCCUAGUAAGCACGUGUCAUCAGCACGUGCUGAUUACGUCCCUGCAAAAUGUACACACCGCCCGUCGCUAUUACCGAUUGAGUGUAAAGGUGAACCUUCUCGAUAGGCGCAAGCUUAGAAAUUAAGUAAACCUUUGCACUUAGAGGAAAUAAAAGUCGUAACAAGGUUUCCGUAGGUGACCUGCGGAAG